rnacentral:rRNA from 1 species
CCGYUGGCUUCUGGCUUGGGACUGRUUUUUAACGUGAAGAACCUUACCAAGGCUUGWCAUAUACGAGAACGGGCCWGAAAUGGUCAACUCUUUGGACACUCGUAAACAGGUGGUGCAUGGUUGUMGUCAGCUCGUGUCSUGAGAUGUUGGGUUAAGUCCCGCAACGAGCGCAACCCUCSUUYUAUGUUGCCMGCACGUAAUGGUGGGAACUCAURGGAUACUGCCGGGGUCAACUCGGAGGAAGGUGGGGAUGACGUCAAAUCAUCAUGCSCCUUAUGUCUUGGGCUUCACSCAUGCUACAAUGGCCGGUACAAAGGGCUGCAAUACCGCGAGGUGGAG